GACGUAGGGCGCGAGCGUUGUCCGGAUUUAUUGGGCGUAAAGAGCUCGUAGGCGGCUUGUCGCGUCGUUCGUGAAAACCUGCAGCUCAACUGCAGGCUUGCGGUCGAUACGGGCAGGCUAGAGUUCGGUAGGGGAGACUGGAAUUCCUGGUGUAGCGGUGAAAUGCGCAGAUAUCAGGAGGAACACCGGUGGCGAAGGCGGGUCUCUGGGCCGAUAUUGACGCUGGAGGAGCGAAAGCGUGGGGAGCGAACAGG
rnacentral:rRNA from 1 species